rnacentral:rRNA from 1 species
GAUGAACGCUAGCUACAGGCUUAACACAUGCAAGUCGAGGGGAAACGAUAUUGGAAGCUUGCUUCCGAUAGGCGUCGACCGGCGCACGGGUGAGUAACGCGUAUCCAACCUGCCCACCACUUGGGGAUAACCUUGCGAAAGUAAGACUAAUACCCAAUGACGUCUCUAGAAGACAUCUGAAAGAGAUUAAAGAUUUAUCGGUGAUGGAUGGGGAUGCGUCUGAUUAGCUUGUUGGCGGGGUAACGGCCCACCAAGGCGACGAUCAGUAGGGGUUCUGAGAGGAAGGUCCCCCACAUUGGAACUGAGACACGGUCCAAACUCCUACGGGAGGCAGCAGUGAGGAAUAUUGGUCAAUGGGCGAGAGCCUGAACCAGCCAAGUAGCGUGCAGGAUGACGGCCCUAUGGGUUGUAAACUGCUUUUAUAAGGGAAUAAAGUUAGUCUCGUGAGACUUUUUGCAUGUACCUUAUGAAUAAGGACCGGCUAAUUCCGUG